UAGGGAAUCUUCGGCAAUGGGGGGAACCCAGACCGAGCAACGCCGCGUGAGUGAAGAAGGUUUUCGGAUCGUAAAGCUCUGUUGUUAAGGAAGAACGAGUGUGAGAAUGGAAAGUUCAUGCUGUGACGGUACUUAACCAGAAAGGGACGGCUAACUACGUGCCAGCAGCCGCGGUAAUACGUAGGUCCCGAGCGUUGUCCGGAUUUAUUGGGCGUAAAGCGAGCGCAGGCGGUUAGAAAAGUCUGAAGUGAAAGGCAGUGGCUCAACCAUUGUAGGCUUUGGAAACUGUUUAACUUGAGUGCAGAAGGGGAGAGUGGAAUUCCAUGUGUAGCGGUGAAAUGCGUAGAUAUAUGGAGGAACACCGGUGGCGAAAGCGGCUCUCUGGUCUGUAACUGACGCUGAGGCUCGAAAGCGUGGGGAGCGAACAGG
rnacentral:rRNA from 1 species